rnacentral:rRNA from 1 species
AGGACGAACGCUGGCGGCGUGCUUAACACAUGCAAGUCGAGCGGAAAGGCCCUUCGGGGUACUCGAGCGGCGAACGGGUGAGUAACACGUGAGCAACCUGCCCUUAGCUCUGGGAUAGCUCCGGGAAACCGGAAUUAAUACCGGAUAUUACACCGGCUGGCAUCGGCUGGGUGUGGAAAGAUUUAUCGGCUAAGGAUGGACUCGCGGCCUAUCAGCUUGUUGGUGGGGUAGAAGCCUACCAAGGCGACGACGGGUA